AGUUGAUCAGUGGCUCAGGACGAACGCUGGCGGCGUGCCUAACACAUGCAAGUCGAGCGGAGUUAACAAGAGGAAGUUUCGGAUGGAAUUUGUAAUUAGCGGCGGACGGGUGAGUAACGCGUGAGCGACCAACCUUGCACAGGGGGAUAACGGACCGAAAGGUUCACUAAUACCGCAUGAGACCACGGUGUUGCAUGACACAGAGGUCAAAGGAGCAAUCCGGUGCAAGACGGGCUUGCGUCCGAUUAGGUAGUUGGUGGGGUAAUGGCCCCACCAAGCCUAUGAUCGGUAGCCGACCUGAGAGGGUGAUCGGCCACAUUGGAACUGAGAUACGGUCCAAACUCCUACGAGAGGCAGCAGUGGGGAAUAUUGGGCAAUGGGGGGAAAAACCCCUGACCCAGCAACGCCGCGUGAAGGAAGAAGGUUUUCGGAUUGUAAACUUCUGUCCUUGGUGAAGAGAAGAAGACGGUAGCCAAGGAGGAAGCCCCGGCUAACUACGUGCCAGCCGCAGC
rnacentral:rRNA from 1 species